rnacentral:rRNA from 1 species
AGUGAACGCUGGCGGUAGGCCUAACACAUGCAAGUCGAACGGCAGCACAGUAAGAGCUUGCUCUUACGGGUGGCGAGUGGCGGACGGGUGAGGAAUACAUCGGAAUCUACUUUUUCGUGGGGGAUAACGUAGGGAAUCUUACGCUAAUACCGCAUACGACCUACGGGUGAAAGCAGGGGAUCUUCGGACCUUGCGCGAUUGAAUGAGCCGAUGUCGGAUUAGCUAGUUGGCGGGGUAAAGGCCCACCAAGGCGACGAUCCGUAGCUGGUCUGAGAGGAUGAUCAGCCACACUGGAACUGAGACACGGUCCAGACUCCUACGGGAGGCAGCAGUGGGGAAUAUUGGACAAUGGGCGCAAGCCUGAUCCAGCCAUACCGCGUGGGUGAAGAAGGCCUUCGGGUUGUAAAGCCCUUUUGUUGGGAAAGGAAAGCAGCAGGUUAAUACCCCGCUGUUCUGACGGUACCCAAAGAAUAAGCACCGGCUAACUUCGUG